rnacentral:rRNA from 1 species
GACGAACGCUGGCGGCGUGCCUAAUACAUGCAAGUAGAACGCUGAAGGAGGAGCUUGCUCUUCUGGAUGAGUUGCGAACGGGUGAGUAACGCGUAGGUAACCUGCCUGGUAGCGGGGGAUAACUAUUGGAAACGAUAGCUAAUACCGCAUAACAGUAGAUGUUGCAUGACAUUUGCUUAAAAGGUGCAAUUGCACCACUACCAGAUGGACCUGCGUUGUAUUAGCUAGUUGGUGGGGUAACGGCUCACCAAGGCGACGAUACAUAGCCGACCUGAGAGGGUGAGCGGCCACACUGGGACUGAGACACGGCCCAGACUCCUACGGGAGGCAGCAGUAGGGAAUCUUCGGCAAUGGACGGAAGUCUGACCGAGCAACGCCGCGUGAGUGAAGAAGGUUUUCGGAUCGUAAAGCUCUGUUGUAAGAGAAGAACGAGUGUGAGAGUGGAAAGUUCACACUGUGACGGUAUCUGACCAGAAAGGGACGGCUAACUACGUG